rnacentral:rRNA from 1 species
CGAGUGGCGAACGGGUGAGUAACACGUGGGUGAUCUGCCCUGCACUCUGGGAUAAGCCUGGGAAACUGGGUCUAAUACCGGAUAGGACCAUGCUUUAGUGUGUGUGGUGGAAAGUUUUUCGGUGUAGGAUGAGCCCGCGGCCUAUCAGCUUGUUGGUGGGGUAAUGGCCUACCAAGGCGGCGACGGGUAGCCGGACUGAGAGGUUGGUCGGCUACAUUGGGACUGAGAUACGGCCCAG